UAGUUUUGCCCUGCGUCAAACUUCUCUAAUUUUGACCAAGUUUUUAGAAAAAAUACAUUAGCAUCUACAAGUUCAAUCAAAUGCAUUGUUAAUACAAAUUUCAUGAAGAAUUCAAUGAAAAUAAUUUGAUUCUAGAUGUUGAUGUAUUUUUCUAUAAACUUGGUCAAAGUUAGACAAGUUUGACUUAGGACAAAGGCAC
rnacentral:pre_miRNA from 1 species